AGAAUGUUAUCACGGGAGACACACGGCGGGUGCUAACGUCCGUCGUGAAGAGGGAAACAACCCAGACCGCCAGCUAAGGUCCCAAAGUCAUGGUUAAGUGGGAAACGAUGUGGGAAGGCCCAGACAGCCAGGAUGUUGGCUUAGAAGCAGCCAUCAUUUAAAGAAAGCGUAAUAGCUCACUGGUCGAGUCGGCCUGCGCGGAAGAUGUAACGGGGCUAAACCAUGCACCGAAGCUGCGGCAGCGACACUAUGUGUUGUUGGGUAGGGGAGCGUUCUGUAAGCCUGUGAAGGUGKSYYGUGAGGSWUGCUGGAGGUAUCAGAAGUGCGAAUGCUGACAUAAGUAACGAUAAAGCGGGUGAAAAGCCCGCUCGCCGGAAGACCAAGGGUUCCUGUCCAACGUUAAUCGGGGCAGGGUGAGUCGACCCCUAAGGCGAGGCCGAAAGGCGUAGUCGAUGGGAAACGGGUUAAUAUUCCCGUACUUGGUGUUACUGCGAAGGGGGGACGGAGAAGGCUAUGUUGGCCGGGCGACGGUUGU
rnacentral:rRNA from 1 species